rnacentral:lncRNA from 1 species
GCUGGAGUCUCAAAGCAGGAAGCCUAUUGGCUUUGGUUUCCUUCAGUGAAAUCUGGGAUCAAGAAUAAUCUCAUCUGGGGUGGCCAGCCACUCUGGACUCACGGUUUCCAGGGUCUUCUGAGUAUAUACAACCAUCCUCCAGACUGCAAAAAACACGAUAUUUACUCUGACAAAGCCACAAGAGCCCCAGGUUUAUGUCCAUGAAAGAUCAGACAGAAUCCAGAGCAGCGACUCAUCAGUGGUGACUGACAACCUGAUGUGCAACUAAUGUGUGAGUCCCUUUUCUGACCCUUCUGUGUCAGUAUGUCUUUCCUCUGCCCUUCCAUCUGUUUAGUGGGUCCACUGUGGGGUGAGACAGUUUUGUUGCAGGGGACUUGGGUCCAGCUGGCUGGAAUUAUCAUAGGUUUCAUUCCUGAUUUGGUGUGUUCUAGGAUGGAAAAGACACUUCCUCUUUGCUUCUGACCUCUUUCCAGAACAAAUAAAAACACACACCAAAAAGCCACUCCCGGGAAGAUGAAACAACAUAGUCACCCCUGGAUCCCCAGGGGCAACUUCAGAGGGCUUCCAUUAGCAGGGUGGAUGAGCUAUUUUCCCAGGAUAUUAAAUGUGAGAAGCUUUGAGCAUGUAUCUGGUGAGUCACACCAGUGUUUUAGAGUCUGACAAGGAUCGUUACUGAAAUACAUAAUGCAACCAUCAUCAGCAUAUGGGGACUCAUACAUUGUAGAGAUACUGAUCUGCUCUACCCUUUUAAGUCUUCAUGCAACUAAAGGGGAAGAUCCCCUCAAAUAGGUUGUUCUCUUUCCUAACCCUAAGAAGAGUCUUUCUUUAAAAUAAGUUCUCCUGUAUGACUGUAAGAUAGGAUUGAUGGGAAAGGAAGGGACAAGGAAUUAGUAUUUUCUGAGUGACUACUGGAUUCCAGCUCAUGAAUGGCCAGGGAAAUGGCAUUCUCACCUGAGCAGGGCUCCUCCAUUAGACUAGUGUAGGAAGCCCAAGGGGAGGAUGGCACAUGGUUAGGACUCGCCCAGGGACCAGGCACAGUGGCUCAGGUCUGUAAUCAUAACAACUUUGGGAGGCUGAGGCAGAAGAAUUAUAUGAGCCUAGGAGUUCGAGACCAGCCUGGGCAACAUAGUGAGACCCUGCUUCUACAAAAAAUAGAAACUAGCUGGGCGUGGUGGCACAUGCCUGUAGUCCCGUUACUUGUGGGGCUGAAGUGGAAGGAUCAUUUGAGCCCAGGAGGUAGAGACUGCAGUGAGCAGUGAUAACACCAUUGUGCUCCAGCUUGGGUGACAGAGUGAGAUCCUGUUUCAAAAGAAAAAAAAAAAAAAGCUCGGGGUAGUGGUAGUGGCUCAUGCCUAUAAUCCCAGCACUUUGAGAGGCCAAGGCAGAAGGAUCACUUGAGUUCAGGAGUUCAGGAGACCAGCCUGGGCAUCAUGGUGAGACCUCAUCUCUAAAAAAAAAAAAAAGAAAAAAAAAAAAAAAGACAAGCCUAAAGUCACACCGCCCAGUUCAUAUUCUAAUUCUGUCACCUACAAGCAAUGUGGCUUUGGGAAAAUUGUUUAAUCUCUUUGCAACUCAAUGUCCUCACUAAAAUGGGAGAAUUGAAUGGAGAUUUCUCAAAACUAAAAAUAGGACUACCAUUCAAUCCAGCAAUCCCACUACUGGGUAUCUACCAAGAGGAAAAGAAAUCAAUAUAACAAAUAAAUACCUGCACUUGCAUGUUUAUUGCAGCACUAUUCAAUACCACAAAGACAUCAAAUCAACCUAAGAGCCCAUCUUUGGACAAAUGGAUAAAGAAAAUGUGCUGUAUAUAUACAUAAUGGAAUAUUAUUCAGCCAUAAAAAAGAAUGAAAUCCUGACAUUUGCAGCAACAUGGCUGGAAGUGAAGGUCAUUAUCUUAAGUGAAAUAAGCCAGUCACAAAAAGAUUAAUACCACAUAUUCUCACUGACACGUGGGAGCUAAAAAAUCUGAUCACAUGGAGAUAGAGAAUGAAAAGAUGGAGAACAGAGACCAGGUGGGGUGAGUGGCAGGGUCAGGGAGAGGUUGAAGAGAAGUGGGCUAAAGGCUACAAGCCUACAGUUAGAUAGAAGGAGUAAAUCCAGCAUUUGAUAGCAGUA